GCGUAUCGAGUCCGAUUGUUUGUUUAAACUAGGUUUAAGAUCUUUACUAAAUAACAUUUCAUGGAGUAAACACUCGAACUUUCCCCGACAUUUUCUCAACACCUUGAAGUUUUUCUCGAUGUUCUUUGCGUCCUCGCCAUGCUUGUUGAACCAUAUGUUCUCCGACAACCGAUGACUUGUGUUCAUCAAUGCGUUGAUGUAAGUGUCGGCAAGUCUAACCGACAUAAUCUGCGUCGCACAGAUCAUAUUUGAAUAAAUAAACAACACAUUGCUGAUUCACAAACGGUGGUUUCGUUUCUACUGCUGGGAAGUCUGCGGCAAUCUUUCUGCUUGUGUAGACCGGUUGUAUUUGUCUACCGAUGGUCUUGCUGAGGUUACGCAGCUGUCGCCUCACCGAGUCUGCUGAUUUCUGGUCUUUAAAUGGUAGCAUUCACGUACCACGUUUUCUUUGAUGUUUCUUUCCUCGGCUGGAUGAUCGUCGCUUUCGCGUUUCUGGGCAGUGUACUUCGUUAUGAUGUUGUCAAGCAGGGAUAUAGGAUAUCUGAGACGAACGGAGGUUUUCUUCAGGCGUUCACAUUCUUCGGUGAAGAGCUUCCACGAUGAUGAUAGGCGGAAUGCACGAUUGAGCAUGGUCAGGACGAGCGAUUUCUUAUACUUCACGUCUACAUGACUAUCAUAAUGUAACAUAAGGCCAGUGUUUGUU